AUUUAAAUAGUUUAUAAAAAAUAUUGAUUUGUGGUAUCAAAGAAAAUUAAAUUAAUUUUUAAAUU
rnacentral:tRNA from 1 species